AUUUGACCAUCUUGUGUGUUUACGGAGAAGACCAAAAGCUGCUAAGGCAGAUAUUUCCAGAGGUACAAACAGAGCGGAUGGUUGCAUGAUGGCCUCUUUCAGGUUUGUCAACUGAAUGUCUACUAGUGUGGCUCAGCAAGUUCCUGUCAUGAUCAGCCCUCUCCAAGAAAGCUGAAGAGCAAAAACACAAAGAACAUCAGUCCUGUUGGGGAUGAGGAAUGAACAUGGCUCUAUUGUGCCCAAACAGAAAAGAGUGAAAAGACUAAAGAGAAGCGGGUCUGAGGCCAGAGAUGGAGGAGUCAAUGGUCACCAAAUGCAGCGCUGCAGCCUGAAACUGUGAAGACUGAAUUCCCAAACAGCUGUGUGACUGCACAGAUGUUACGGCCAUAAAAGAAACUUCACAACUGAGAGCCCAUACCUCCAACAAGCUUCAACAGGAAUCAAUGGACAUCUACGCAAGGUUUUUCUUUUGUUGAGGACCGUCAGAGACUCCAGCCACACGAGCCAUGGAUUGCUCUCAACAUCACCAUCAGACAGACAUUAUCACAGAACCAGCACCAGCAGACUGCAAAACAAGUUCCUUCAACAGGCAAUCAGACUGAACUGAACUCGUACCAGUAACACCACACACACACACACACACACAUACACACACCAGCAGCCUCAUACUGUGUGCACUGC